rnacentral:lncRNA from 1 species
CUUUUGGGCUGUUUCUCUAUCUUGGAUAAUAUGAAUAACGACGCAGUGUUUAUAGUGUGCUGGUAUCUUUUCAUGAUUUAACUUCUUUUGAAUAUAUGAUAUUGCAAAUAAAUAAAUAAGGAAUAAAGUUUACCAGAUAGUGAAAUAAUUGUAUAUGGAACAUUGUGGAACAUAGAUGAAAUAACUUAAAGCAAAUACAGAUGAAUGGAAAGACAUCCCAUGUUAGUGGAUCAGAAUGAUCCAUGUUGUCACAUUAUUCACACUGGAAGAGCAGAGUCCCUGAGCCUCAGCCAGGUCUGCUCUGGGUUCGCGCUGCCUUUUCCACACUCUCCCAGCGUCCAACACAGUCUUGAAAGCUCAGACGGAGAUCACUUCUGUCAGAGAAGGGUGAUGUGCUACCAGCCCUGCUUGGUGCACUGCACCAGCAUGCUUGAAAUGGAAAUAAAUCUGAUUCCUCUUGGGACAGAAACAAGCCCUUUAAAUGUAUACUGGGUAAACACGAGAUGAUUUGAGGCUAAGAAGGUGCGGUUGUUCAGAUGAUUGGAGGUCAGACAGCCAACCUGCCCAUCUCCCCAGACUAUGCCUAUGGUGCCCCCGGUACCCAGGCAUCAUCCCGCCACAUGCCACUCUCCACUUUGCUGUGGAGCUUCUAAUGCAGGACUGACUGGGACGGCCUCCUUCCGUUUGCUCCCUGUUCUUGGAUCUGCCAUGAAGUGGUCUGACGCUGCAGAGUCAUGCACAAGAAUCCAAAGAGAGCUUUGCCUGAGGAUCCACUGCACUCUCUGCACAAGCAUCUGCUCAACUGAAUGUGCUCGGCAACUACUUCAGAGGUGGAGAUGGGGUUUCAGGAGUGAAGCUGAAAGAGAAGAGGAACACCUGGAAGAGGCCACACUGGAUAUGGAUCCUGAUAACCAGGGAAGAAUUUUAUCUAUUUCACUCCAUGGAAGAACUGGAAGACAACCCAUCAUGCUUGGUUCCCAAUAUAACGAACUCAGGCACUAUAUAUGGCUCUACUGA